rnacentral:rRNA from 1 species
AGACGAACGCUGGCGGCGCGUCUUAAGCAUGCAAGUCGAGCGGUAUGGAGAAGCUUGCUUCUCCAGAGAGCGGCGGACUGGUGAGUAACACGUGGGUGACCUACCCUUAGGAUGGGGAUAGCCACUAGAAAUAGUGGGUAAUACCGAAUGUGGUUGCGAGACUGUGGUCUUGCAAAGAAAGGAGCUACGGCUCCGCCUGAGGAUGGGCCCGCGUCCCAUUAGCUAGUUGGUGAGGUAACGGCCCACCAAGGCGAUGAUGGGUAGCCGGCCUGAGAGGGUGAACGGCCACACUGGGACUGAGAUACGGCCCAGACUCCUACGGGAGGCAGCAGCUAAGAAUAUUCCGCAAUGGACGAAAGUCUGACGGAGCGACGCCGCGUGGAUGAAGAAGGCCGAAAGGUUGUAAAAUCCUUUUGUCGAUGAAGAAUAAGCAUGGGAGGGAAUGCCCGUGUGAUGACGUUAGUCGGCGAAUAAGCCCCGGCUAAUUACGUG